UUGAUUAAUUUGUUUUCUAUUGUUAUUAAUUUAAUUGAUUUCUUUUUAUUUUUGUUGAUUAUUAGUUCUUUUUGUUCAUUGUUAAUCCCUGUAUUCUUUUUAUCCAGCUCCCUAUCUUUUCUCUCUCACCCACUUUUUCUUUGAGAAUAGAAUUAACAAGGAUAAUAUUAAUUCAAUUGUUAUUCUUUUAUGAUGAAAAUUGUCUAUUUCUCUCUCUCUUUUUGUUGAUUUGUUAUGACCUAUGUUGAUGAUGAUUAUGGGUGAUUUGGCUUAGUAAAAAUGACUAACCAUUGGUUACCGGAUGAUAGAGAGAAAGUAAUAAUUUACCUUCAUUUUCAUUUUGUUAUUACCUGAUGGAUUAUCUGCUUCACCGUGAGUAUAAUUGGGUUUGUAUGGUUGUAAAUAUUAUCUCAUAAAAAAAGCUUUGACCAUUUUUAUUGUGUGGUGUUGCUUUUUUUAAGAGCUUUUGACUUUUCUAUAUUCAUAUGUAAAAAAGGGUGUAUGGUUGAUUGAAUAAUAUCUAUGUGAGGUGACUGUAAGAUGAGAAGAAGAGAAGACUCUAAUUGAGUGAGUGAGAGAGAGAGAGAGAAGAUAUAAAAAUGAAGAUUAUGUUUGGAUGGAAGAGAGAGAGAGAGAGAGAAACUUAGUGAGAAAGCGAGUGGAAAAAUAAUAUAUCUUUUUUGAUGAUGAUGAAAAACAACAACAGCAAUUGCCAAAUUGCUAUUAAUACGCUAGUCUAAUUUAUAUGUUGAUCGUAUUAACUAUUUAAUGAUAACAAUGAAUGUUGACCGCGUGUGUUUAAUUCUGUAUUUAGUUAACAACAAUGAGAGAAAAUAUGUUUUUUCUCCCAAACUUGAAACCUCCAUUUAUGAAUUACCAUUAUUCCAAUUUACCUAUUUCCGUAUUUCUCUCUCUUCUAAAUACAUUUAUUGAUCCGUUUUCUCUCAUUAUGUUUGCCGGACAGUUAAUACUCGAGCUAUUAUGUUUCCUAUGUAGUAUUGACCUUUUUGUCUUUGACUGAGGUCAAAACCGGAAGGGUAAUACUAGUACAAUUAACUGUAUAAUAGGAAAUCAUGAAGCAGAAAAAAAUUGAAAGAAGAGUAAAUUGUUUACUAUAUUGUACUAAUAUUAUUUUUAUUGCAUCUUUCAGAGAAUGAGAAACAAUUGGAAGAUCAAAUAACGGUCAACAUUUUGGUACCAAUAUAAUAUCCCAAAGGAGGAGGAGGAGGAGGAGGAGGAGGAGGAAGAUGAUGAGGCCGAUGUGAUGAUAAUAGAGGAGCAAUGAGUGAUUGUCGCCAACAACAAGUUUCUCCGUCAUCAUUUUUACAUGAAAAAGUCGACCUUUAUAAUGUCCUCAGGUCAAACAUCGAGGCCAAUUAGAGGUUAAAAUUUGAUUGACAAGUAACACCAAACAUUGGAAAGAUGUUAAUUUCAUUUUCAUCCUCAUCCUCAUCUUCAUCUUGAUCUGUUUACUUGGAUCAGCAGAAAAGUGAAAAUAAAAACACUGAACUAAGGUAAAGUAUCUGAAGAAGCCUAAAGCCUGAAGAUGAUGAGAAAGAUGAUGAACACAACGACAUACCAAUGAUCAGGAUGGGAAAAUGAUGAUUGGAUAUAAACAUAAUCUCAAGUCUACAAUUAGUAUCUCAAGAAACCGAGAAAAAGGAGAUAAUAACUCCCUUUGGAGAAUCUCUCCCUCCAUCAACAGAGUGAGAGAGAGAGAGAGCUAAUCAUCUCCACUCUAAUCAUCUUUAACAAUCAACAUAAACUAAAUUAACUACGAUCAAUGGAUCAAUCAACAGAAAAUAAGGAGAAAAACUAACUAACGAUUCGUAAUCAAACUUGUUUCCAUCGCAAUUAACUAAUAAUUUACUCGAUUCAAGUCACGUAAUUAUCAAGGUAAUCAAGGUAAAGUGAUCUUGAUGAUUAACCAAAUACCAACAAUUUAAUAAUAAUCAAUAAAUUGUUUUAAAAAAGUG